rnacentral:pre_miRNA from 2 species
AGUGUCUGGGGUUUCCUCUGCCUUUUUUUCCAAUGAAAAUAACGAAACCUCUUAUUUCCCAUUGAGGGGGAAAAAGGCGGGAGAAGCCCCGGCAGGACUGAAGCUGCUCCU